UGCUUGGGUGCUGCCAUGGAUAGCGCAUGUGUUGGCUUUGUCCAACUUUGGGCUUUUGCCCACAUUGAUUUUAAAAAGACAGAGGAGCCACAGAUUUUGGAGUACUGCAAAAUGACUUUCCAAAUUGAUGAACCAUGAACUCUAAGCUGGAUAGACAGAGAAAUGAAAAGAAGGGACUAAUGGGGAAUAAGACGUGUGAUCCAUGGCCCAAUGGCCCUGAUGGACGUGAAGAUCCACUGUUGUGGGAGGAAUGGAACACUAACACUAAAUGAUGGAGGCUGUGGUCAGAAACAGGGAUUAGCAACCCACUCUCCACCAAAUUUCAAAUCACUAGGGGCAUUAUGCUAUGUCCCAUGAGUGGCCGAGGCUUCAAGGACCAAUGAUAGACCUGCCGCUCUAACCUAGGCCUGCUGAGGAGUACAAUUCAACCUGUGUUUCUGUGUUGUUCAGCAAUCUUGCUGAGCUCCUCUAAGUCAGUCCAUCCUGCCACAGCUGGGAAGAAUCAAGAAACUCUCCAAGAAGAUGUUUAUCGGUUGGUAAACAUCUGUUUAUCUGUUUGUUGCCAAUGAGAAGACAGGUCUGCUGACCAUGGCGGGCAUGGCAGCAUGUGACACCGUGUUUGCUGUUCACUGCGUGUUCCGCCUGAACUUUCCCGUCCGGUCAAUGAGUCUUGACAGUGGGGUGAAGGGGACUCACUCUCAAAGACCAAGGCUGACCCGCUUUGAGUACAAUGCCUUGACCUAGUUACUGUCACUGUGGUUUUGUCUUCAGGAACUAAAAGUUACAAUAAAAAUUUUUUCCUUU
rnacentral:lncRNA from 1 species